rnacentral:sRNA from 1 species
AGUUUGGGACCAAGGAGAAGAGAAUGGAUCUUGGAACAGCUGAGGGCACCCGGUGCACGGACCCGCCUGCAGGCAAGCCCGCCAUGGCGCCCAAGCGCAAGGGUGGCCUGAAGCUGAACGCCAUCUGCGCCAAGCUGAGCCGCCAGGUGGUGGUGGAGAAGCGAGCUGACGCCGGAUCCCACGCGGAGGGCAGCCCAUCGCGGCCCCGGGACCAAGAGCGCAGUGGCCCUGAGUCUGGGGCAGCCCGGGCCCCCCGCAGCGAGGAAGACAAGAGACGGGCGGUGAUCGAGAAGUGGGUGAACGGGGAGUACAGCGAGGAGCCGGCACCCACACCCGUGUUGGGGCGGAUUGCCCGCGAGGGCCUGGAGCUGCCUCCCGAGGGUGUCUACAUGGUGCAGCCCCAGGGGUGCAGCGAUGAGGAAGACCACGCGGAGGAGCCCUCCAAGGACGGCGGUGCCCUGGAGGAGAAGGAUUCGGACGGGGCAGCCUCCAAGGAGGACAGCGGCCCCAGCACCAGGCAGGCUUCAGGCCAAGGCGAGAGAGCGGAGACAUUUAUGAAACUUUGUUUAAUGUACUGAAAAGCCAUCGGCCAGAACAUUUAGGAAAUUGAUUUUCCUGGCAUUGAUGAACUCGUUUUAUUUUACCCCA